rnacentral:rRNA from 1 species
GACGAACGCUGGCGGCGCGCCUAACACAUGCAAGUCGAACGAGCGAGAGAGAGCUUGCUUUCUCGAGCGAGUGGCGAACGGGUGAGUAACGCGUGAGGAACCUGCCUCAAAGAGGGGGACAACAGUUGGAAACGACUGCUAAUACCGCAUAAGCCCACAGCUCGGCAUCGAGCAGAGGGAAAAGGAGCAAUCCGCUUUGAGAUGGCCUCGCGUCCGAUUAGCUAGUUGGUGAGGUAAUGGCCCACCAAGGCGACGAUCGGUAGCCGGACUGAGAGGUUGAACGGCCACAUUGGGACUGAGACACGGCCCAGACUCCUACGGGAGGCAGCAGUGGGGAAUAUUGCACAAUGGGGGAAACCCUGAUGCAGCGACGCCGCGUGGAGGAAGAAGGUCUUCGGAUUGUAAACUCCUGUUGUUGAGGAAGAUAAUGACGGUACUCAACAAGGAAG